GCCAGGUCCACGCUCUCUUUGGCUGUGACGGCGGCAGUGUUUGCACCA
rnacentral:ribozyme from 14 species